rnacentral:sRNA from 1 species
UGGACUUGGAUUGACAAGGAGGCAACAC